AGUAUGCCCUGAAGCAGGCCCCAAAGGUCAGGGUCAUUUCACCUUUCCCCCCUUAUAGACCUUUGUCCUCCCAGCUGCUUAUUAUUGUUGGUGUUUUGGUGAGGUUCAAGUUAUGAAAUCAUUUCUGUGGUACAAUGCUGAAGUGUGCAUAGAGGACUCGUGGAGUAGUAAGUGAAAUGAGACAGAGGCGUAACAAGGAACUGACAUCAAGAAAAAUAGAGCAUACGCAGGAUGAUAACUGAUUAUUACAGUUCAUCCCCAGUUUGGACUAAGAUGUUGAGUGGACACCUGGCCAGCUGUCUGGAGGAGAUAAACCAACCCAUUUAGCAGCCCUUGCAUUACUCUUUGCACUAGAGCUGAAGCCUGAAAUUCUUUACUUUUUUUGUAAUAAGAUUCAGAGGCCGGCGCACUCACAGGAGAGUCAACACUGCAACAGUUCCUCCAAACUUGCUGUCACUUGACUGUUAGUCCAUAAAAUGUAUUAUUACAGCAUGUUGAAUAAUGCUGAGCUGGUUGAAAAAUGGCGAGGAUUUUGCCUGGAUAUGAGGAAAAUACCGUCUGAGAGCAGAGUGCACAGUCAGGAAAAGGCAGGUUGUACAGAGAGUCAUUUAGGUCAGAUUACUCCGUAUGAUGCAAGCACUGCCAUCUCGUGGAUAAUCUAAGGAUGUGGAGAGUUAUUUAUUUAAUAAAUGUAAAACUUUCUAAACUGAUAUGAAAAUUUCUAAUUGUAUUUUUUUAAUAAUGUAAAAAUUUCCAAAAUGAUGCUUGCAGGAAGUAAAUUUUAGUACUGUUACAUUCAAGGAACACAUAUGAACAGAACUUAUUUUCUGAGACUAGAGGAUCUGUGCUAGUUCUUUAGUUGAUUGUGUGUUUUUAUCAUGUUAUAAAGCUUCGUUUCUUCUUCCUCAUGUUGCUUUUUGUAUGCAAAGGAACAUGUUUGCUGCCUAUGGCAUUUAAAAGUAACAAAAGUGAAUCUUAAAUCUCUCAUGCUGGAGCACCAUUCUUUCCUCUAGUAGCGCAAAGAAUGGGUGAAGGGGGGAGGAAUGGGAGGAAAAACAAGAACACAGUGUCUUCAUGAUUCCUUUUAUAACAGAUUGCUUGACUACUGUUUCAUUCUAUUUCCAUCACUGAGGAGUACUUUGAGCUAUUGCUGAUGUGCCUGGUAUCAGUCCUGUUGUGAACUAGACUGGUUCACAGCAAAUUAUUGGAUAUUCUCUAACUGGGACGUAGGAAGUGACUAAUCACUGUUGUAGGCAUCCGAAGCUCACAAAUUUCUGUUAAACAGCUGCACAGCUCUUGCUAGCUGUGCCUCAGUCUACGUGCUUCUCUGUUCUGUGCAAGUCUGCUGGUCAUGCUCAUUCCUCCAAAAAGAGGCACGUGAAAAGGAUGUUUGGUUAUUUAGACAUCAACAUAGCUUUCUAAACCUUAUUAAUGUAGACGUAUCUCUUUGUACAACUCAGAAAAACAGCUCUUGGAAGAUGUCAAGUGACUUUCUCUUGCUAUAAUACUGCGCAGUUAUGCUGUGAAUAAUGAGCUGAAAUAGGUAGUUUCCAAACAUAUGAUGUACAGUACCUAUGGAGUUCACUUUCAGAGCAGCCUAGACAUAAGAAAGAAAGUAGAAAGGACAUCACCUUAAGAGAAAAGGAUAAGUAUAGCAAUAUCAUGUGACAUAGCUCCUGGAGCUAGAAAUCAAUCAUAUUGCCUUUCUCCCAGCCCCUUUUCAUGUUCACAGUUUUACAUAUAGUGAACUAUUUACAAUGGAAACAGACCAACAAGAAAAUAAAACCCGUGAGUUGAUCUUUAUUUAGAAAUCAUAUCUUAUACAGCAAGGUAGUUGAACAACUGAAUGAAAGUAGUGGUUAAGCGUUGUUACAAGGAAGAAGUUACCAAUUUGCACCACUGAGGAGAAGGCUACAUGUCAAGGUGAAGCUUUUUGAGAGUACUGUGGUUUCUAGUCAUUACAGUAGAGCUAUUUUACAAGUUCAAACUGUUAAGAGUGUGUUGGUUUUGCAGUAUUUUUAUGAAUAAUGUAUACCCGAAUAGAAUAAUGAAUGUGAAGAAUGGGAACCAUAAACUUCAGACAUCUUAAGCACUGAUACUUUACUGCAGGUGUCGAGUAUUUCACUGUUGCUGUUGAAUGUGUCACAAUGCUUUGUUAGAACUGUGACAGGAAAAUAGAACAAAAACCUGAGGUAAACUAAAUUGUAGUUUUGGAAAAGAAUAAGGUAGAAAAUGGAAGCAAAGGAUAUCCUACCUCCCAGAACUUGGAGCAUGUGGGAUGAUAUAAGCCUGUAACUAAACAAUGUGCAAGUAUUUUAUUGAAUUAAUAACAGAUUGGUAUUGUUACUUAUUCCUGUGUCUUUAAUGGAAAGUGAAU
ensembl:lncRNA